UCCUGACAGCAACAGCUGACAAUAGCCAAGACAGGAGAUCAUAAUG
rnacentral:sRNA from 12 species